rnacentral:rRNA from 1 species
CAGCAGCCGCGGUAAUACAUAGGUGGCAAGCGUUGUCCGGAAUUAUUGGGCGUAAAGCGCGCGCAGGCGGUUUUGUAAGACAGGCGUGAAAUCCCCGGGCUCAACCUGGGAAUGGCGCUUGUGACUGCAAAGCUAGAGUGCGGCAGAGGGGGAUGGAAUUCCGCGUGUAGCAGUGAAAUGCGUAGAUAUGCGGAGGAACACCGAUGGGGAAGGCAAUCCCCUGGGCCUGCACUGACGCUCAUGCACGAAGGCGUGGGGAGCAAACAGGAUUAGAUACCCCGGUAGUCCCUGUCUCUUAUAC